AAAAAAGGAGCAGGUAUUAGGCACAACCCUACGUUUGCCCAUGACACCUUGCUUAGCCACACCCCCAUGGGAAUUCAGCAGUAAUAAACAUUAAGCAAUAAGUGCAAACUUGACUUAGUUAAAACCAAGAGAGCCGGUUAAACUCGUGCCAGCCGCCGCGGUUAUACGAGAGGCUCGAGUUGACAAAUACCGGCGUAAAAUGUGGCUAAUUUAUAGUAUUACUAAAGUUAAACAUCUUCAAAACUGUUAUACGCACUCGAAGACAGGAAGCCCUGCCACGAAAGUGACUUUAAAAAUAUUAGCCCACGAAAGCUAGGGAACAAACUGGGAUUAGAUACCCCACUAUGCCUAGCCUUAAACAAAAGCAAGCCCCCUACACCCCUUGCUUGCCAGGGAACUACGAGCCCCAGCUUAAAACCCAAAGGACUUGGCGGUGCUUUAGUCCCACCUAGAGGAGCCUGUUCUAGAACCGAUAAUCCCCGUUCAACCUCACCCUCCCUUGUUUAUUCC
rnacentral:rRNA from 1 species